GUUAACAGGACCUCCUGUGUAUAUCCCCCCUCUAGGUUAACAGCACCUCCUGUGUAUAUCCCCCCUCUAGGUUAACAGGACCUCCUGUGUAUAUCCCCCCUCUAGGUUAACAGCACCUCCUGUGUAUAUCCCCCCUCUAGGUUAACAGGACCUCCUGUGUAUAUCCCCCCUCUAGGUUAACAGGACCUCCUGUGUAUAUCCCCCCUCUAGGUUAACAGGACCUCCUGUGUAUAUCCCCCCUCUAGGUUAACAGGACCUCCUGUGUAUAUCC